UUUGACCUCAAAUCAGGUAGGACUACCCGCUGAACUA
rnacentral:rRNA from 1 species